rfam:Picea glauca, whole genome shotgun sequence.
AGCGGGCAUCAUUGUAAGACGGGAAAAACACCCGAUCCCAUACCGACCUCGAUAUGUGAAAUCGUCUUAUGCCAUAUGUACUGAGAUUGUUCGGGAGACAUGGUCAAAGCCCGCUC